rnacentral:tRNA from 1 species
GGGCGGUUAGCUCAGGGGUAGAGCAACUCGUUUACACCGAGAAGGUCGGGAGUUCGAAUCUCUCACCGCCCA